rnacentral:rRNA from 1 species
AACGAACGCUGGCGGCAUGCCUAACACAUGCAAGUCGAACGAUGCUUUCGGGCAUAGUGGCGCACGGGUGCGUAACGCGUGGGAAUCUGCCCUUGGGUUCGGGAUAACCGUUGGAAACGACGGCUAAUACCGGAUGAUGACGUAAGUCCAAAGAUUUAUCGCCCAGGGAUGAGCCCGCGUCCGAUUAGGUAGUUGGUGGGGUAAAGGCCUACCAAGCCGACGAUCGGUAGCUGGUCUGAGAGGAUGAUCAGCCACACUGGGACUGAGACACGGCCCAGACUCCUACGGGAGGCAGCAGUGGGGAAUAUUGGACAAUGGGCGAAAGCCUGAUCCAGCAAUGCCGCGUGAGUGAUGAAGGCCUUAGGGUUGUAAAGCUCUUUUACCCGGGAUGAUAAUGACAGUACCGGGAGAAUAAGCCCCGGCUAACUCCGUGCCAGCCGCCGCGGUAAAAC